rnacentral:rRNA from 1 species
UCAAGAGAGAGAAGGGUUUAAGGUGGAUGCCUUGGCGUAUCAAGGCGAAGAAGGCCGUGGCAAGCUGCGAAAAGCGACGGGGAGUAGCAAACAUACAGAGAACCGUUGAUAGCCGAAUGGGGUAACCCAACAGGUGAGAGCCUGUUAUCCGUAGUUGAAUAAAUAGGUUACGGAAGCGAAACUGGGGGAAGUGAACCAUCUAAGUACCCCGGGAAGAGAAAUCAAAAGAGAUUCCGGAAGUAGCGGCGAGCGAAACCGGAAGAGCCCAAACCGCUUAAAAAGCGGGGUUGAAGGACCGCGACAUCUUGGCAGUCAUGAUAGGAGAACGGCUUGGGAAAGCCGGCGAGAGAGGGUGAAAGCCCCGUAUCCGAAAUUAUGGCUGUUAGGUAGCGGGAUCCUGAGUACGGCGGGGCACGAGGAACCCCGCCGGAAGCCGGGUCGACCACGAUCCAAGGCUAAAUACUAGAUACGACCGAUAGCGCAGAAGUACCGUGAGGGAAAGGCGAAAAGCCAGCGAGGGGAGUGAAAAAGAACCUGAAACCGUAAACCCACAACAGGUCAGAGCCCGGUAUAGAGCCGGGUGAUGGCGUGCCUUUUGGGCUUGGAAGAGCCGGAGCCGAAGGGAAACCGAGUCUGAAUAGGGCGUUUAGUUGUAUGUCGUAGACCCGAAGCCAAGUGAUCUUGUUAUGUGCAGGUUGAAGGCAGGGUAAAACCUGUUGGAGGACCGAACACAAAUCUGUUUAAAAAGGUUGUGAUGACAUGUGACAAGGAGCGAAAGACUAAACAAACUUGGAAAUAGCUGGUUCUCCCCGAAAUGCCUUGAGGGACACUAGGGGGCUUCACCGCCUACCAAACCCAAUCAAACUCCGAAUGGCGUAAGGCAACUGAUGGGAGUGAGACUGCGGGCGACAAGGUUCGUAGUCGAGAGGGAAACAGCCCAGACCGUCGGCUAAGGUCCCAAAUAGUAUGCUAAGUGUUAAAUGAUGUGCCGUGGCGCAGACAGCCAGGAUGUUGGCUUAGAAGCAGCCACUCAUUUAAAGAGUGCGUAAUAGCUCACUGGUCGAGUCACGACGCGCAGACAAUGUAACGGGGCUUAAGCAUACAACCGAAGCCGCGGGAUCAUGCAGUAAUGUAUGGUCGGUAGGGGAGCAUUCCACGAACCGAAGAAGGCAACUUGGGAAAGUUGCUGGAGGGGGUGGAAGAGAGAAUGCAGGUAUAAGUACACGAAAAGACGGGUGAGAUUCCCGUCCGCCGAAAGCCUAAGGAUUCCUGGGUAAAGGUCAUCUGCCCAGGGUAAGUCGGCCCCUAAGACGAGGGCGAAAGCCGUAGUCGAUGGGAAACUGGUUCAGAUUCCAGUACCAUUCAUGGUUUUAUGGGAUGACGCGUGAGGUGAAACCCGGCCGGGCGACGGUUGCCCCGGUCGAAGCAGUAAGUUAAUGGGGGCGGAGAAAACGCCUUUAGACAAGCUGCGACAGCGAGCUGUAUUACGGUACAGCGAAGCGGGUGUAAUCAAGGCGCCAAGAAAUAAUCCCCACUAGACAGGCCGUGAAGACCGUACCGCAAACCGACACAGGUAGGCGGGAUGAGAAAUCUAAGGCGCUCGAGAGAACUCGCGUUAAGGAACUCGGCAAAAUACGCACGUAACUUCGGGAGAAGUGCGACCACCGGCAGUUUUAGCAAUAGAGUUGUUGGUGGUGUCACAAAGCAGUCCCAGGCGACUGUUUAUCAAAAACACAGGCCUCUGCGAACCAGCAAUGGGAAGUAUAGGGGCUGACACCUGCCCGGUGCCGGAAGGUUAAGAGGAGCGGUUAGUCGCAAGAUGAAGCUGUGAAUCGAAGCCCCGGUAAACGGCGGCCGUAACUAUAACGGUCCUAAGGUAGCGAAAUUCCUUGUCGGGUAAGUUCCGACCCGCACGAAAGGUGUAACGAUCU